AAGAGCGAACAAAGGCGGCGUUCGCGCGGCUCGGGCGGAUUCCCGUUGUGGUCGGGUGCGUGGAUGGUACGCUCAUCGCCAUCCAGAAGUCCCAUGGUCUGAGCUCCGCGGACACGACGCAUUACAUGUCGCGGAAGGGAGUCUACGCAUUGAACACCGUGAUCACAUGUGAUGCCGACCUCUGGAUGUCAGUCCAUGUUUCCUGGGGUCAUGUCAUGACUCGUGGGUAUGGCGGGGGAGCCCUCUCCGUCAGCACCUGAAAGCAAAACUUCGGCUUGCUUGGAGACUCCAGCUAUACAUUAGAACCGUGGCUCCUGACACCAGUGCCCGGACGACCAGCUCGUGGCACCCCUGAUAACCACUACAACAAGGCCCACACCGCCUUGCGCAAUGUUGUGGAGUGGUGCAUCGCUGUAAGCUUGUGCAGAGCUGCACAAGCAUCAUCGCUGCUUGUGCAGCUCUGCACGACAUUGCGUUGGCGGCACAUGAGCCUGUUCUCGAAGGGGACGAUGACGACACCGACGAUGCUGAGCUGCUGCCAGCAGCAGCUGAGCUACCACCACCACAACGGGAGCCAGCAGCAGCGCAACCGUGUAGUGAACCUGUUUCGAGAACCACAGGGCCUGCAUGCUUGAGCACCUGCGCAGAGUACGCCGCCGGCUGCAGCGACCUCAGCAGCAUUGUGUGGUGGCUUCCGCUGCAGUGAGGGCCCGGGCGAGGGUACCAACGCCUUGCAAUUUGUGGACCGCGUCACCGAGAAGUUGAACCUGGCGCAGCUUUCCAAUGAUGCCUGGCC